GAUCAUGGCUCAGGAUGAACGCUGGCGGCGUGCUUAACACAUGCAAGUCGAACGAAGCACUUUAAUUGAUUUCUUCGGAAUGAAGUUUUGUGACUGAGUGGCGGACGGGUGAGUAACGCGUGGGUAACCUGCCUCAUACAGGGGGAUAACAGUUGGAAACGACUGCCAAUACCGCAUAAGCGCACAGGAUUGCAUGAUCCAGUGUGAAAAACUCCGGUGGUAUGAGAUGGACCCCG
rnacentral:rRNA from 1 species